rnacentral:pre_miRNA from 1 species
CUUCUUCAUGUUCCCGGAAAUACUUGUCAUCAAAAUGGAUAAAAAGGGAUGUAUUAGACAUAUUUUAGUUUUAGAUACAUCUCUUUCUAUCCAUUUUGAUGACAAUUAUUUUUGGACGGAGGGUGUACAUU